rnacentral:rRNA from 1 species
AAUGAACGCUGGCGGCAUGCCUUACACAUGCAAGUCGAACGGCAGCACGGGAGCAAUCCUGGUGGCGAGUGGCGAACGGGUGAGUAAUAUAUCGGAACGUGCCCAGUCGUGGGGGAUAACGCAGCGAAAGCUGUGCUAAUACCGCAUACGAUCUAUGGAUGAAAGCGGGGGAUCGCAAGACCUCGCGCGAUUGGAGCGGCCGAUAUCAGAUUAGGUAGUUGGUGGGAUAAAAGCUUACCAAGCCGACGAUCUGUAGCUGGUCUGAGAGGACGACCAGCCACACUGGGACUGAGACACGGCCCAGACUCCUACGGGAGGCAGCAGUGGGGAAUUUUGGACAAUGGGCGAAAGCCUGAUCCAGCCAUGCCGCGUGCAGGAUGAAGGCCUUCGGGUUGUAAACUGCUUUUGUACGGAACGAAAAGACUCUGGUUAAUACCUGGGGUCCAUGACGGUACCGUAAGAAUAAGCACCGGCUAACUACGUGCCAGCAGCCGCCGUAA